rnacentral:rRNA from 1 species
CCCUUAGAUGUUCUGGGCCGCACGCGUGCUACACUGAGUGGAUCAGCGGGUCAGGUUGCGCGAAAGCGUUUCCUAAUCUUUAAAUCCGCUCGUGAUGGGGAUUGACGGUUGCAAUUUUCUGUCAUGAACGAGGAAUACCUUGUAAGCGCGGGUCAUCAUCCCGCGCUGAAUACGUCCCUGCCCUUUGUACACACAGCCCGUCGCUCCUACCGAUUGAGUGGUCCGGUGAGGCUUUGGGAUCUGAGCGGAAAGAGCGUUUCGCUGUUUCUGCUCGGAAAACUCAGUCGAACCUUAUCAUUUAGAGGAAGGAGAAGUCGUAACA